GAUGAACGCUGGCGGCGUGCCUAAUACAUGCGAGUCGAGCGAACGGACGAGAAGCUUGCUUUUCUGAUGUUAGCGGCGGACGGGCGAGUAACACGUGGAUAACCUACCUAUAAGACUGGGAUAACUUCGGGAAACCGGAGCUAAUACCGGAUAAUAUUUUGAACCGCAUGGUUCAAAAGUGAAAGACGGUCUUGCUGUCACUUAUAGAUGGAUCCGCGCUGCAUUAGCUAGUUGGUAAGGUAACGGCUUACCAAGGCAACGAUGCAUAGCCGACCUGAGAGAGUGAUCGGCCACACUGGAACUGAGACACGGUCCAGACUCCUACGGGAGGCAGCAGUAGGGAAUCUUCCGCAAUGGGCGAAAGCCUGACGGAGCAACGCCGCGUGAGUGAUGAAGGUCUUCGGAUCGUAAAACUCUGUUAUUAGGGAAGAACAUAUGUGUAAGUAACUGUGCACAUCUUGACGGUACCUAAUCAGAAAGCCACGGCUAACUACGUG
rnacentral:rRNA from 1 species